AGCUGGACCUGAGUAUGAGCCCUCUCCGCUCCUGUAGUUUCCAGGAGGCAACUAACUGGCAUUCAGAAGCAUACUGCCUCCAACUGUGGAGACAGGUCAUAGCCAUCGUGGUGAGAAGCCACUGAUAGCCUUAUCCUCCGUGAAUUUAUCUCAUCCUCUUUUAUUUAUUUUUAUUUAUUUCAUAAAAAAUUCUCCUACCUCCUAAUUGUUAAAAAAAGCCUCCAAACUCACAGAGCGGUUUACAAAAUAGAAUAAAACAAUAACAUUUUCUCAGAACACAACCUCCUUUCAUUCCCCAAUCACAGUAGAUGCUUUAGAACAGUGGUUUCAAACCUGGGCCCCAAAAUGUUGCUGGACUAAAACUCCCAUUAGCUAAACAUGGAGUCCUGACAACAACUGAGCACCCAAGUUUGAGGAAGCCUGCUUUAGACUAAAGUGUCUCAGAAUGGAUGGGCAGUGGACUCACUGAUAUACAAUGCUGGCUUAGCAGCUGGUUCCCUAAAGGGUAUCCUUACCUAUUCUUCACAAGCCAAUAUUCUUUGCCUUCUUCUGUUCCAUAUCCAAUUACGACGACUCCAUGAUUUAUAUGCUGAGAACACUUUGGAUCAUCAUAUACACCUACAUAAAAAGGAUAAAGAAUCACUUUCAGGUGAAUGCAACCAUCUUCCUGAAGAAGAAGAAAGAACAACUUUGUUUCAGAUGAUGCACGCAUACAAUAAGCAAAGAUCAUCUUAGAAGAGGGACGUCUUUGUAACUCCCAGUGCCUGUUGAGUGUGGGGUCCUUCUCCCAGUAUGCAGGCGAAGCAGCAGCAGCAAAUGCCAGGAAAACACAGGCCCACAGUUCCAUCCUGCUGAGGCAGACACAGAAAGCUGGGUGUAAGAAACCUUCCUGUUCCAGGAGCCCCUUUCUUAUGUUGUUUCUCCGGCUGAACCUUUCAACAACACUGCUCCUGCUUCACCCGCAUGCUGUUGAUAAAAAGGCUACUUUCGAUUUCUUAUGCUCAAUGUCACAUGGGCCUCCCCACCCCAAUAAAGGAAAUGCCUUGCUUUCAUUACAAUGUAGUCCAUCCUCUCUUACCUCGGCUGUAGAACUGGAAGGAGGCCAGGCUGGCAUCGAUGCCCACAGCGAUGGGGCCUAUCCGGGCAACAGCUCUUUUCAGGGCCUUC